GCGGCGAACGGGUGAGUAACACGUGGGUAAUCUACCCUCGGUUCUGGGAUAGCCCGGGGAAACCCGGAUUAAUACCGGAUAGCCUCUUGAGUCUUCGGGUUCUUGAGAAAAGGUAGCUUCGGCCUCCGACUGAGGAUGAGCCCGCGGCGGAUUAGCUUGUUGGCGGGGUAACGGCCCACCAAGGCUUCGAUCCGUAGCUGGUCUGAGAGGACGAUCAGCCACACUGGGACUGAGACACGGCCCAGACUCCUACGGGAGGCAGCAGUGGGGAAUCUUGCGCAAUGGGCGAAAGCCUGACGCAGCGACGCCGCGUGCGGGAAGAAGGCCUUCGGGUUGUAAACCGUUUUCAGAGGGGACGAAGCCACUCGGGUUAAUAGCCCAGAGGGUGACGGUACCUUCAGAAGAAGCCCCGGCUAACUACGUGCCAGCAGCCGCGGUAAUACGUAGGGGGCAAGCGUUGUCCGGAUUUAUUGGGCGUAAAGAGCGUGUAGGCGGCCAGGUAGGUCUGACGUGAAAUCUCGAGGCUCAACCUCGAGCGGUCGUUGGAAACCGUCUGGCUAGAGUCCGGAAGAGGAGAGUGGAAUUCCUGGUGUAGCGGUGAAAUGCGCAGAUAUCAGGAAGAACACCCAUGGCGAAGGCAGCUCUCUGGGACGGUACUG
rnacentral:rRNA from 1 species